AUUGAACGCUGGCGGCAGGCCUAACACAUGCAAGUCGAGCGGAUGAAGGGAGCUUGCUCCUGGAUUCCGCGUCGGACGGGUGUGUAAUGCCUAUGAAUCUGCCUGGUAGUGGUGGAUAACGUCCGGAAACGGGCGCUAAUACCGCCUACGUCCUGCGGGAGAAAGUGGGGGAUCUUCGGACCUCACGCUAUCAGAUGAGCCUAGGCCGGAUUAGCUAGUUGGUGGGGUAAAGGCCUACCAAGCCGACGAUCCGCAUAUGGUCUGAGAGGAUGAUCAGUCACACUGGAAGGGAGACACGGUCCAGACUCCUACGGGAGGCAGCAGUGGGGAAUAUUGGACAAUGGGGGAGAGCCUGAUCCAGCCAGGCCGCGUGUGUUAAGAAGGUGUUGGGAUUGUAAAGCAGUUUAAGGUGGGAGGAAGGGCAGUAAGUUGAUACCUUGCUGGUUUGACGGUAACAGCAAAAGAAGCACCGGCUAACUACGUG
rnacentral:rRNA from 1 species